UUAAGUUCAGCGGGUCUUCCUACCUGAUCCGAGGUCAACCUUGGGUUAAAAGGUGGUUUAACGGCCGGAACCCGCAGCACGCCCAGAGCGAGAUGUAUGCUACUACGCUCGGUGUGACAGCGAGCCCGCCACUGCUUUCAGGGCCUGCGGCAGCCGCAGGUCCCCAACACCAAGCCGGGGGCUUGGAUGGUUGAAAUGAC
rnacentral:misc_RNA from 1 species